rnacentral:rRNA from 1 species
CACUAGCGUAUAUUAAAGUUGUUGCAGUUAAAAAGCUCGUAGUUGGAUUUCUGACGUGGUGCGCCUGGUCCGCCCCGUAAAGGUGUGUGAGUACCGGCGUGCGCCUGUCAUCCUUCCGCAGAGCGUGUCUACCCUUCACUGGGCCGGGCAUCGCGAUGUGGAUCGUUUACUUUGAAAAAAUUAGAGUGUUCAAAGCAGGCUUACGCUGUGAAUACAUUAGCAUGGAAUAAUAAGAUAGGGCUUUGGUUCUAUUUUGUUGGUUUCUAGGACUGAAGUAAUGAUUGAUAGGGAUAGUUGGGGGUGCUAGUAUUCAACGGCCAGAGGUGAAAUUCUUGGAUUCGUUGAAGACUAACUUAUGCGAAAGCAUUCACCAAGGAUGUCUUCUUUAA